UGGGGAAUAUUGCACAAUGGGCGCAAGCCUGAUGCAGCCAUGCCGCGUGUGUGAAGAAGGCCUUCGGGUUGUAAAGCACUUUCAGCGGGGAGGAAGGCGAUAAGGUUAAUAACCUUGUCGAUUGACGUUACCCGCAGAAGAAGCACCGGCUAACUCCGUGCCAGCAGCCGCGGUAAUACGGAGGGUGCAAGCGUUAAUCGGAAUUACUGGGCGUAAAGCGCACGCAGGCGGUCUGUCAAGUCUGAUGUGAAAUCCCCGGGCUUAACCUGGGAACUGCAUGCGAAACUGGCAGGCUAGAGUCUUGUAGAGGGGGGUAGAAUUCCAGGUGUAGCGGUGAAAUGCGUAGAGAUCUGGAGGAAUACCGGUGGCGAAGGCGGCCCCCUGGACAAAGACUGACGCUCAGGUGCGAAAGCGUGGGGAGCAAACAGG
rnacentral:rRNA from 1 species